rnacentral:rRNA from 1 species
GACGAACCGUGCGAACGUUGUUCGGAAUCACUGGGCUUAAAGGGCGCGUAGGCGGGCUGCCAAGUCCGGGGUGAAAUCCUCCGGCUCAACCGGAGAACGGCCCCGGAUACUGGCGGCCUCGAGGGGGGUAGGGGCAUGCGGAACUCUGGGUGGAGCGGUGAAAUGCGUUGAUAUCCAGAGGAACUCCGGUGGCGAAGGCGGCGUGCUGGACCCCUUCUGACGCUGAGGCGCGAAAGCGUGGGGAGCAAACAGG